AUAAUGGGUCAGCGACUUAUAUUCUGUAGCAAGGUUAACCGAAUAGGGGAGCCGAAGGGAAACCGAGUCUUAACUGGGCGUUAAGUUGCAGGGUAUAGACCCGAAACCCGGUGAUCUAGCCAUGGGCAGGUUGAAGGUUGGGUAACACUAACUGGAGGACCGAACCGACUAAUGUUGAAAAAUUAGCGGAUGACUUGUGGCUGGGGGUGAAAGGCCAAUCAAACCGGGAGAUAGCUGGUUCUCCCCGAAAGCUAUUUAGGUAGCGCCUCGUGAAUUCAUCUCCGGGGGUAGAGCACUGUUUCGGCAAGGGGGUCAUCCCGACUUACCAACCCGAUGCAAACUGCGAAUACCGGAGAAUGUUAUCACGGGAGACACACGGCGGGUGCUAACGUCCGUCGUGAAGAGGGAAACAACCCAGACCGCCAGCUAAGGUCCCAAAGUCAUGGUUAAGUGGGAAACGAUGUGGGAAGGCCCAGACAGCCAGGAUGUUGGCUUAGAAGCAGCCAUCAUUUAAAGAAAGCGUAAUAGCUCACUGGUCGAGUCGGCCUGCGCGGAAGAUGUAACGGGGCUAAACCAUGCACCGAAGCUGCGGCAGCGACGCUGAUGCGUUGUUGGGUAGGGGAGCGUUCUGUAAGCCUGCGAAGGUGUACUGUGAGGUAUGCUGGAGGUAUCAGAAGUGCGAAUGCUGACAUAAGUAACGAUAAAGCGGGUGAAAAGCCCGCUCGCCGGAAGACCAAGGGUUCCUGUCCAACGUUAAUCGGGGCAGGGUGAGUCGACCCCUAAGGCGAGGCCGAAAGGCGUAGUCGAUGGGAAACAGGUUAAUAUUCCUGUACUUGGUGUUACUGCGAAGGGGGGA
rnacentral:rRNA from 1 species